rnacentral:rRNA from 1 species
UAUCUCUGUAGAGUCUGCAUAUCAAUAAGCGGAGGAAAAGAAACUAACAAGGAUUCCCCUAGUAACGGCGAGUGAAGCGGGAAGAGCUCAAAUUUGAAAUCUUAAAGGUUUCCCUUUACGAAUUGUAGUUUAAAGAAGUGUUUUCUGUUGGAGUUUCGGUAAAAGUUCUUUGGAAUAGGACAUCAUAGAGGGUGAGAAUCCCGUAUUUGACCGUUACUUUCCAGCUGUGUGAUACACUUUCAAAGAGUCGGAUUGUUUGGAAUGCAGUCCAAGAUGGGUGGUAAAUUUCAUCUAAAGCUAAAUAUUGGCGAGAGACCGAUAGCGAACAAGUACCGUGAGGGAAAGAUGAAAAGAACUUUGAAAAGAGAGUUAAACAGUACGUGAAAUUGUCAAAAGGGAAGCGUUUGACACCAGUGUUGUUUAGUUGAAAAUCAAUUCAAUAGUUUUUGAUUCUAAGUAGUAUUGACUUCAUCAGCUUGCUGCUUUCUUCUCAGAAAUUAUUGAAUGCACUUUUCAGUUAACAAGUCAACAUCAAUUUCUUUUGUUGUAAAAGGGUAAGAGGAAGGUGGCUUGCGCUUCGGCUCAAGUGUUUAUAGCCUUUUAUCUCUGCAAUCGGAGAGAUUGAGGUCUGCAGCGUAGAUCCUUCGGGGUUAGAUACAUUUGUGCUAAGCUAUAGCCUUGUAUAGACAACUUGUUGACUAUGCUCAGUCAUGUAGCUUACUCGCUUAUGCUAUUUUACCUACGCUUAGGAUGUUGAAGAUGUAGCACAUCAU